GGGCCUUGUACACACCGCCCGUCACACCACGAGAGUUUGUAACACCCGAAGUCGGUGGGGUAACCUUUUUGGAGCCAGCCGCCUAAGGUGGGACAGAUGAUUGGGGUGAAGUCGUAACAAGGUAGCCGUAUCGGAAGGUGCGGCUGGAUCACCUCCUUUCUAUGGAGA
rnacentral:rRNA from 1 species